rnacentral:rRNA from 1 species
UACGAAGGGGGCUAGCGUUGUUCGGAAUUACUGGGCGUAAAGCGCGCGCAGGCGGCUAUCCAAGUCAGUGGUGAAAGCCCGGAGCUCAACUCCGGAACUGCCAUUGAAACUGUUUAGCUUGAGGACGAGAGAGGUGAGUGGAAUUCCCAGUGUAGAGGUGAAAUUCGUAGAUAUUGGGAAGAACACCGGUGGCGAAGGCGGCUCACUGGACCACAACUGACGCUGAGGCGCGAAAGCUAGGGGAGCAAACAGG